ensembl:snoRNA SNORA62 Small nucleolar RNA SNORA62/SNORA6 family
CCCGCACACUUAGCGCUUGAAGCUGAGGCCGCUGGCUGGCUGCGUGCUCACGGACACAGCCAGUGCACGACCUGAGCGGCAAGUCUCCGCUAACACCACAAGGGUUCUGGCCCAGUGAGCAGACUUUGAUAGGAAUUCUUGCUAUAAGU